GUUCCAUUCAGACAAUUUAAUCUCAUUCAUAGGUUCCUAAAAGGGGAGGAGUCACUACACCCACAAGAUGGAGUGAGUCAUGCCCACAUUGAUGAAUAUAAAACAAGCAAUCAUUUUCAUCAGCUAACAGGUACUAUUGUACAAAAUUCCAAUGCAUAAUACUUUUCGAAACAAUAAAGAGACACUCUGGCUGAGCUAAUGACUGAGAACAGCUGGUUAAUGCCCAUAGAACAAGAUGCUCUUGAGUUUUAGACAUACUCUUCUACCUAUGUCUAUGAGACUGCAAAGAUCAUUUAUAAUAGUUCCAGUGGCCACUCGUACCAUCCACCAGUGACCACUCUAUCACCAGUGAACAGCACAGGGAAUGUACUGGACAUGUACCCGGAGACAUAUGGAAGAGUGUUAAUUUAUGGUAGUGCAGGAGGUGUGUCUCUUAAUUGAUUAGAUCAAUGUUCCCUCCCACUCAAUGCACUGGAGACUGGAACUGAGACAUAGUGUCAUUCUUCCUUAGGAAUAGAGAAAUAUGUGCUGUGUCACGUCAUCAUGUUCAAAGAAUGAAAUUGAAAGAUGCCUCAAACUUUUUGGUCAGGCAGCAAACCCAGCAAUGAAUACUGUAUCAACUACUAAAGCAUGAUUAGUGAGUAUAUUGAGGAAGUAUAGGUUUGAAAGCGGAUCAUCUGAUACUGAGAUAUACAAUUAAAAAGGAAACAAGGUUUUACUCAGUCUCCAAAAGAUUGUUUUUCUAAGAAUGACUCCCUAAUAAAAUCAGUUGGAAUUAAAUUUUAUUAUUAUUUUCG